AGUCAUUUUACUGUUUAUACCGCAGUCACAUUCUAACUAUUGCAUGACAGAGAGAACAGAGAUCUGUCAUGCAAAGUAAAAUUAAGUGAAGGCUUUCCUAAAGCUGGAGAAGUACCACAGAAACACAGGAUGGCCGCAGCUCCCUCAGAUAACAGCGCCAGGGGUGUGGAUGGGUAGAAUGGAG